rnacentral:rRNA from 1 species
AUUGAACGCUGGCGGAAUGCUUUACACAUGCAAGUCGAACGGUAGAGGGGGCAACCCCUCGAGAGUGGCGAACGGGUGAGUAAUAUAUCGGAACGUGCCCAGUCGUGGGGGAUAACGUAGCGAAAGUUACGCUAUACCGCAUACGAUCUAUGGAUGAAAGCGGGGGGUCGCAAGACCUCGCGCGAUUGGAGCGGCCGAUAUCAGAUUAGGUAGUUGGUGGGGUAAAGGCCCACCAAGCCAACGAUCUGUAGCUGGUCUGAGAGGACGACCAGCCACACUGGAACUGAGACACGGUCCAGACUCCUACGGGAGGCAGCAGUGGGGAAUUUUGGACAAUGGGCGAAAGCCUGAUCCAGCCAUUCCGCGUGCAGGAUGAAGGCCCUCGGGUUGUAAACUGCUUUUGUACAGAACGAAAAGGUUUCUACUAAUACUAGGAGCUCAUGACGGUACUGUAAGAAUAAGCACCGGCUAACUACGUGCCAGCCGCCGCCGUAA